UUAGUCUUUCGCCCCUAUACUCACGUUUGACGAUCGAUUUGCACGUCAGAAUCGCUACGGUCCUCCACCAGAGUUUCCUCUGGCUUCAACCUACGCAAGCAUAGUUCACCAUCUUUCGGGUCUCAACGUGUGUGCUCAUGCUCCGCCCCGAUGACGCAUUAGCUGAUACUAGCAUACACAAGUGUACACACAUAUCAAUGCCAAUGACCACAUCAUGGGACGGGCCGGUGAUGCGCCCAUUGCUCUAAUGCAUAUUAUAAAAUAUACACGCGCGCAAUGAGAUCUCACCUCAUUAUACUGCAAAUAAAUGCAAUAUAAUUUUUACUUUCACUACGCCUUGGGGUUUCGUAUAGCCCUUUGACUCGCACACAUGUUAAACUCCUUGGUCCGUGUUUCGAGACGGGUCGGGUAGCUCGUCUACCACAGCACCACUGACUAUUACACCCACAGUAUCACAUGCACCGGAGACAGCGUAAUACCGCGCAUUAUUAAUAAUACACUACACCACUGCCGCACCUACUUUUUGUAGGCAAAACGACAAUCACGUAUAAUGCAUACACACGGCAACGCGCCCCCAAAUGUGGCAUAUGUGAAAUGCCUGCCGGAUACCAUCUCGCAUACACAUACAUCAUUGCUGAUAUAUACAUAUGCGUGAGGUGGAUAAAUCCGAUGCCUUGCACAGUCAUUUUUACCACCGUAGUCCGCCAAGCCGUUAGCAGUCUAGUCACAUCACUGCAUAGCGACUCGUUGGCGGUGAGUACACGAUAACACGUAGCAAUACCGAAGCACCACUACGCCGUUUACUCGCUCCACCUGCGAUCAUACCCACCAAACUAAUAAAAGAUUACCAAAAAUGGCAACCUUCAAAAGUCAGGUGAACACGACUUGACCACGGUGGACUGGCAAUUCCAUCGGUCGUGAUGUUCACCACGGAGAAAUUGCACUGACUAGGCGGCCCUACAGAUUAGUGGCAUACUCCGGCACCCACCCGGCACGUAUAGCUCAGAGGAGGCGGCAGUUGCAAGCGCUACAACACAAUGGUGCAACACUCACACACACACCUCGUACUUCGCUCCACUCUCACAAGGAGAGAGCGGACCACUAAAACUUAUUCCGGCCAUAAAAACAACCCAACCAGCUGAAUCCUCCGGGCUCGCGGUUUGACGCCACCCGUUUACCUGCAUGCGGUUUCACGUACUAUUUACUCUCUCUUCAGAGUACUUUUCAACUUUCCCUCACGGUACUUGUUCGCUAUCGGACUCGUGCCCGUAUUUAGCCUUGGAUGGAGUUUACCACCCACUUUGGGCUGCAAUCUCAAACAACCCGACUCUAAGGCCGACCUGGUGAACCGUAUCACAUGUCUGAACCUCCACCCGUACGGGCCUCUCACCCUCUAUGGGCCAAAUCCAAUGAUAACCAUACUCAAUGCUGGACUUCGAGUGGAGUUACGGUCCCGCCAGUCGACCCGAACACCACAUUGCCUAACAGCAAAACUGCCGCAGGCUUCGGUGCUGGGCUCAUCCCUCUUCACUCGCCGUUACUAAGG
rnacentral:rRNA from 1 species